GGGUGCUAACUUGGUUGCUUUACUGAAUGUAAAAGGAGGAAAACUGCAGAUAUCUGUUUCAUUAAAAGGAGAUCUAGACCUUGCUUUCGUCUCCGCAUCAUCUGGACAAAGUAAAUGCAAGGCAUCUUUGCUGUCUGGAUACAUGCGAAGGGUGUUUGAAAAAGCUUACUUGCUUCAGAUCAACGAGGCACUGAGUAUUGGCGUAUCACUGCCAUCUUUACCUAAUGUACAAUUAAUUCAUCAAGUUGUAGAAGUAAAGGAGGAUUAUGCGGUCAUGUCUUGUGAUAUUCAGUACAUUAAAUGAGUGAUGUCAGUAUCUGCUUAUGGGAAAAGACCCAAUAAUUAAAGACAAAGUGCCAAGCAGAAGGUCGGAUCAUGGAAAAUAACUUUUUAGUCCGAUUGCUCUAAGUAUAACAUUAAACGUCUGUGCAAUGAAACAAA